rnacentral:rRNA from 1 species
CAGUAGCCACGGUAAUACGUAGGUGGCAAGCACUGUCCGGAAUUAUUGGGCGUAAAGGGCUCGCAGGCGGUUUCUUAAGUCUGAUGUGAAAGCCCCCGGCUCAACCGGGGAGGGUCAUUGGAAACUGGGAAACUUGAGUGCAGAAGAGGAGAGUGGAAUUCCACGUGUAGCGGUGAAAUGCGUAGAGAUGUGGAGGAACACCAGUGGCGAAGGCGACUCUCUGGUCUGUAACUGACGCUGAGGAGCGAAAGCGUGGGGAGCGAACAGGAUUAGAUACCCCCGUAGUCCCUGUCUCUUAUAC